UACGAAGGGGGCUAGCGUUGCUCGGAAUCACUGGGCGUAAAGCGCACGUAGGCGGAUUGUUAAGUCAGGGGUGAAAUCCUGGAGCUCAACUCCAGAACUGCCUUUGAUACUGGCGAUCUCGAGUCCGGGAGAGGUGAGUGGAACUGCGAGUGUAGAGGUGAAAUUCGUAGAUAUUCGCAAGAACACCAGUGGCGAAGGCGGCUCACUGGCCCGGUACUGACGCUGAGGUGCGAAAGCUAGGGAGCAAACGGG
rnacentral:rRNA from 1 species